rnacentral:rRNA from 1 species
AUUGAACGCUGGCGGCAGGCUUAACACAUGCAAGUCGAGCGGAGACUUCGGUCUUAGCGGCGAACGGGUGAGUAACACCUAGGAAUCUGCCUAUUAGUGGGGGAUAACGUGUGGAAACGCACGCUAAUACCGCAUACGUCCUACGGGAGAAAGCAGGGGAUCUUCGGACCUUGCGCUAAUAGAUGAGCCUAGGCCGGAUUAGCUAGUUGGUGGGGUAAAGGCCUACCAAGGCGACGAUCUGUAGCUGGUCUGAGAGGAUGGCCAGCCACACUGGAACUGAGACACGGUCCAGAUUCCUACGGGAGGCAGCAGUGGGGAAUAUUGGACAAUGGGGGCAACCCUGAUCCAGCCAUGCCGCGUGUGUGAAGAAGGCCU